UAAAUGGCCGCGGUAUAUUGACUGUGCAAAGGUAGCAUAAUAAUUAGUUUAUUAAUUGUAAGCUUGAAUGAAUGAUUGGACGAAAUUUACACUGUUUUAUACACAAAUUUUGAAUUUUAUUUUUCAUUUAAAAAGAUGAAAUAUUUUUAAAGGACGAGAAGACCCUAUAGAGUUUAAUAAAGGUUUAUGUUAAUGGAGAGGUUAUAAUUUUUAUUUAAUUGGGGUAAUUAACUUAUAAAAUCAAUUAGGUUGAAUUAAACUAUAUAAAAGAGUAUGAGAACUUAUCAAAAGUGGAAGAUUAAAUUACCUUAGGGAUAACAGUAUAAUUUAAAUUUGAAGUUCUUAUUUGAAUUUAAGAUUAUAACCUCGAUGUUGGAUUAAAAGUACUUUUAAAUGCAGAAGUUUAUAAAGUAAGUCUGUUCGACUUUUAAAAUUUUACAUGAUCUGAGUUCAAACCGGCGUAAGCCAGGUGG
rnacentral:rRNA from 1 species